rnacentral:rRNA from 1 species
GACGAACGCUGGCGGCGUGCUUAACACAUGCAAGUCGAACGGAAAGGCCCUGCUUUUGUGGGGUGCUCGAGUGGCGAACGGGUGAGUAACACGUGAGUAACCUGCCCUUGACUUUGGGAUAACUUCAGGAAACUGGGGCUAAUACCGGAUAGGAGCUCCUGCUGCAUGGUGGGGGUUGGAAAGUUUCGGCGGUUGGGGAUGGACUCGCGGCUUAUCAGCUUGUUGGUGGGGUAGUGGCUUACCAAGGCUUUGACGGGUAGCCGGCCUGAGAGGGUGACCGGCCACAUUGGGACUGAGAGACGGCCCAGACUCCUACGGGAGGCAGCGGUGGGAAAUAUUGCACAGUGGGCGGAAGCCUGUUGCGGCGGCGCCGCGUGCGGGAUGACGGCCUUCGGGUUGUAAACCGCUUUCGCCUGUGACGAAGCGUGAGUGACGGUAAUGGGUAAAGAAGCACCGGCUAACUACGUG